UUCAAACCGAUUAAACUAAAUUCUGUAAUUUGAAAUCUGAUAAGUUGUAUAUAUUACUGAAAAUCACACAAAAAAUGUACCUGGAAUAACCAUAUUCAUGUACCAAUUAAUCUAGAUCUGCAUGACAAGGCUAUUAAGUUCUAAAAUUCUGCAAUACUGUCAUACAGGCACAAAGCUACCCAAAUGUCAUAAUCUAGUCAUACAUUAUGAAAAUACAUUCACAAUACUGCAGAGAAGGUAAAAUCACCAUAACCGCUCUUACACUGUCGAAACACAUUCACACCAAUGCAGACUAGGGUAAAAUCACCUGAUUACUUUCUGGUGGUUUUAAAAAUAACUUUAAAUAAGCUGAAUUUAGUUUUAAAAAGAACUGAUUAUAAAAUCUACUUAUUCUUAAAAUCAUGCUAUCAAAAUAACUAUAUAAACUAAUUCAUUUUCUAAUCUAAUAUAAAAUAUAAUAAAUACUUAUUUCUGAAAAAUAAGUUGUCAAUGUAAUGUCAUAAUCCCAAUUAGGGUCACUAAUAACAUAUCCACAUUUAUAUAAAUUAUUUUAACACUUAAUCUCCAAUAUUUAACACUUAAUUUUGUUUUCAUAUUAAAAAAUCCAAGAAAAUCAAAAGAUUUUCAAAAACGACACUCUACUUCCAGAAUAUUGAAAUCUGGCACCAAAUUCUAUUUAUGGAAAGCUGUCUCCAAAGUUUUUGACCAAAAAGCACUUUCUGGGUAGAAUUUCAAAAAUAGCACCCAUGUUUCACAAUUUUUUGAAAAUUACUUGAAAUUUCUUUAAAAAUGAAUAAAUCAAACCUCAAAUUCUUAAAUUAAGUGUGUAACACCACAAAAUCACAUGAAAAUCAAAGAAUAUGUCUUUAUCUUAUAAACCCAUAAAUUUUACUUUCUUCAACACCCAUUUUCAACUGUUUAUUAUAUUAUCAUGUGAAACCUCAAAUACAUGUCAAUAACACUUACUUCUUGCUAAACUUAGAAUUUAAGCAAAACUUUCAUAAUCCCUAAAAGAUAAUUCAAUAAUCUUUUACUCGCCUCUCUCAAUCAAAGAAAAAAGUUCAAGAAACUGAGACCCUAGGCUUGAAAGAUUGGAACAUACCUCUUCCUUCUUUUCUUCUCUUUUUCUCUUCAUUCUUUCUUUCUCCCUUCUUCUCUAUGGGGUCGUUC
rnacentral:lncRNA from 1 species